UUUAAAUGUAAAAUAAAUUUACUAAAGUAGUAAUAGUUAUGUUCUCGAAAUUUAAAGAUUUUGGCGGUAUUUUAGUCUAUUUAGAGGAACCUGUUCUGUAAUUGAUAAUCCACGAUUAACUUUACUUAUUUUAUAAAUUUGUAUACCGUCGUUAUUAGAAAAUUUUAGUAGAAAAUAAAUUUUUAAUAUUUUAUAUUAAAAAAUAUAUCAGAUCAAGGUGCAGUUAAUAUUUAAGAAGAAAUGGGUUACAAUAAAUUUAUUUAUAUGGAUUAAAAUAUUAAUAGUUUUAUGAAGGUGGAUUUAAUAGUAAUUAAAUUAAUAUAAAUUUUGUGAUUUUAGCUCUAAAAUAUGU
rnacentral:rRNA from 1 species